UUUAAAUGAAAGCUGUUUGUUUUAAUGUAUUCAUUAUUUCUCUUUGUUAAUCGUGUUACUCUAGUACGAAAUGUCCCCCAAAAAAUGCUACAAUUUAAAGGUGAUUUGAUUUUGUAUACAAAUUUUUUUCUUUUUUAUGUAUUUAUUCUGUUGUCUAAUUUAUUCUACUACGAAAUAGUUUUCCAAGGUUGUAGAGCUAUUGUGAUCUUUAGGCUUAUAUUCAUUAGAAUUGUCGACUCGGAGAAGUGCCGCUGCAAUUCGGGCUUCCCUUCCGCGCAUGCUUUGAGCUUGGGGUUUUGCAGGUGAUUUCAAAAGCUCUAAUCUUAUGUUCAUAUCAGUUCCAAGCUUUUGUCCUGUUCGUGUAAGCUUCCGCUUCUUUGUUGAGGAAGGGGUAGGCUUUCUUCUGAUUUUCUUUUUUCUUUGCAAAGAUCCACCACAAGUUUCCACACCAUGCAUUGUGCUGCGUUCCAAAGUUAUUCCGUUAAAUACAACGGUGUUAUAAUUUCCUACUACAUUGGCAAGGACAAAUGAAUCCCAAGUCAUGUACUUUCCAGGGCCUUUAUAACCUUUGGCGUAAAGAGCAAUCAGGGCAGCUCGAAGAGUUGAUAAAUGACUGAAAAACCGACGAUCGUGCGGCCCCUGCCAAAUAUGACAGAGUUCGUGUAAAAACACGUCCAUGACAAAUUCAAAUGGUAACCAUCGAUUUGAAGCGUCUCUAAGGACAAGCUCAAUACAUUCUCCCUUAUUCCAGUUUCUUCCCCAAAAUUUUGCAUUGUAAGCAACCUCAUCCAACGAAGUGACUCCGAAUCCAUGCUCCUUCAUAAUAGGAAAUGCCAUUGCGGCAAUUCUUUUUAAAUAAUCAGAAGAUAGAUCAUGGAAAUCUCCUUUUAUAGCAGAUAUAAAUCCUAUUUUCUCAUUUGGAUGGUCAUCGUCGUUUAUUCGUAGCAUAAAGCUAACACUUAAAAGGAUACUCGUAGUCAGAAUAUAAUAUAAAUACAAUAUAGCGAUCAUGGAGUUACUGCGUUUUAAUAUUUUAUGGUACCGUCAUAGGGCUUCUUGAAUUCGCUUAACGAAAAAUAAUUUUCAAAUGCAAAUAAAUAGAAAUGAAAAACAUUACAGUACAAAAAUUAACAUAUUUUCAC